CCGCAUGUGGAUGCAGGCCCAGCCCCGCCCCAGCAGCACAUCAUGGUUUGUGGGGUCUCGUGGCACAGACCAUGGCGUGGUGCUACCGCGGGGCCGGGGAGACAGCGUGGGAGACAG
rnacentral:pre_miRNA from 14 species